GUCGACAUCAUAGUUGUUCUUCUUUGUAAAGCCGGCAUUUUUGUUUUAAAUCUUGUUUCCUGAAACGUCCGAUGGAUUAUCAACGUCGAAUAAUGAUAUUACUUCGAGAUAUAUUUUUAAAGGAAGAAAUAAACGAUGGAAGAAUUCACAAGAAUCUGAAGUUUCUUGGUACGAAAAUGCAGUGAAAAGGUAUUGGCGGGAAAUUCAAACGUUCUUUAUUUCAACUAUCUGUUUGCUGAUAUUUUAUCGUUAUCAAUAUAAUUGAUAUAAUAUUAUUUCAUCGCAGCGAAGCACUAAUGGCAAAGGAAAUGAAGAUAUAUAAAUGUAAAAUGUACUAACUUUAACAUUUACCUCUUAUGAAUUGAUAUAUAAUGCUAAAAUCUUUUUGCGAUAGACCAUGACUAUUAAGCAUCUUAUAAAGUUGAUAAGCCAAAGAGCCCAAAGGAAUUAAUGCGUCUGUCCUAAUUGCGGCAGAUUGCGCCAAGCUUAAAUCCUUUGUCAUAAGCAAUGUACUAAAACCGCCCUAAAGUAAAAUAUCAAGUAUAAUUAUCCAACCGGAACAUCAGGUAGAAGACCUGGGACAGGAUUGUACAAUUCGGAGGACCAACAUUUUCCUGAACUGGAAUUCACUAUGUCAUUCAAUACAUUUUCUUUUAGACCCAAUCUACCAAAUGAAAAAAAUUCAAUAGUCAAAUAAUAUGUAACACAUGCGAACGAAAAAACUCUCAUGAUAAAUUUUUCUCUUUUACACUUUACCUUUGACCAAGAUUAAAAAUUUCGGCUGUACCGAUCAUA